GACGAACGCUGGCGGCGUGCUUAACACAUGCAAGUCGAACGCUGAAGCCCCAGCUUGCUGGGGUGGAUGAGUGGCGAACGGGUGAGUAACACGUGAGUAACCUGCCCAUCACUCUGGGAUAAGCGCUGGAAACGGCGUCUAAUACUGGAUACGAGCAGCGACCGCAUGGUCAGUUGCUGGAAAGACUGGUUCGGUGAUGGAUGGACUCGCGGCCUAUCAGCUUGUUGGUGAGGUAAUGGCUCACCAAGGCGACGACGGGUAGCCGGCCUGAGAGGGUGACCAGCCACACUGGGACUGAGACACGGCCCAGACUCCUACGGGAGGCAGCAGUGGGGAAUAUUGCACAAUGGGCGCAAGCCUGAUGCAGCAACGCCGCGUGAGGGAUAACGGCCUUCGGGUUGUAAACCUCUUUUAGUAAGGAAGAAGCCUUCGGGUGACGGUACCUGCAGAAAAAGCACCGGCUAACUACGUGCCAGCCGCCGCGGUAA
rnacentral:rRNA from 1 species